UGGGGAAUAUUGGACAAUGGGCGAAAGCCUGAUCCAGCCAUGCCGCGUGUGUGAAGAAGGUCUUCGGAUUGUAAAGCACUUUAAGUUGGGAGGAAGGGCAGUAAGCGAAUACCUUGCUGUUUUGACGUUACCGACAGAAUAAGCACCGGCUAACUCUGUGCCAGCAGCCGCGGUAAUACAGAGGGUGCAAGCGUUAAUCGGAAUUACUGGGCGUAAAGCGCGCGUAGGUGGUUCGUUAAGUUGAAUGUGAAAGCCCCGGGCUCAACCUGGGAACUGCAUCCAAAAAUGGCGAGCUAGAGUAGGGCAGAGGGUGGUGGAAUUUCCUGGGUAGCGGUGAAAUGCGUAGAUAUAGGAAGGAACACCAGUGGCGAAGGCGACCACCUGGGCUCAUACUGACACUGAGGUGCGAAAGCGUGGGGAGCAAACAGG
rnacentral:rRNA from 1 species